UUUUAUAUAAACUGGAUUCAUCUGAAAGAAGAAAGUCAUAUACACCUAGGAUACUUUGAGGGUGAGUAAAACAUGGGCUAAUUUUCAUUUUUGGGUAAACUAAGCCUUCAGUAUCUUUCCUGCGCUGAACACAAGAAGAUAUUUUGAAGAAUGUGGGUAACCAAACUAUAGCUGGUGCACAAUUUGAUAUUAGAAAAAAAUACUAUGGAAGUCUGUUCAACUGUUUGUUUAUACCCAUUAUUCAAAAUACAUUUAUCAUAAUAUUGUUUCUGUGAUGAGUGAACAGAAUAUUUUGAAGAAUGUGGGUAACCAAACUAUAGCUGGUGCACAUUUGAUAUUAGAAAAAAUACUAUGGAAGUCUGUUCAACUGUUUGUUUAUACCCAUUAUUCAAAAUAACAUUUAUCAUAAUAUUGUUUUCUGUGAAUGAGUGAACAGAAUAAUUUUCACAUCAUUUUUGUAGCAUAAACUCUAGUAUACCACAUCCAGUUCUCAAAAGUAUUGUGAACAAACGUUCUUUGUGUGUUAUCAUGGCCUUAAUUCAGUGACUUAAAAUUUUUAGUUUUUCACUAACCACGAAUAAACUUUGUUUUCUCAAAAACACAAUCAGGUACCACAAAAAAUAAAUAAAUAAAUAACUAAAUAAAUAAAAUAAAUAUGAAGAAUAAACACCAACCUUCUGGUUCCUCUUGUUUUAUUCUCAAAGAUUCUGGUUCCUCGUGUUUUAUUCUCCAGGUUUCUGGUUCCUCAUGUUUUUAUUCUCCAGGUUUCUGGUUCCUCGUGUUUUAUUCUCCAGGUUUCUGGUUCCUCGUGUUUUAUUUCUGGUUCCUCGUGUUUUAUUCUCCAGGUUUCUGGUUCCUCGUGUUUUAUUCUCCAGGUUUCUGGUUCACUCGUGUCCUCUUCUCUCUCCUCUUUAACAAACAUCAUCUUCACAGCAGCAGAUCUCAGUUCAGUUGACACUCCUCCAGAUAUUCCUGCUUGCUUUAAAACUUGGUACGACUGUGAGGAUGAAAAUAUUACAGGCUAUUUACUGAAAUGUUUACAAAAACUUGUUAUUUUUCUAUUAACAGUAAACGUUUCUAACCGUUUCUUGAGUUUUUUCUAAGAAUUUCUACUAAAUCAAAAUUUAUUCUUUCCAUUCUAAGGUUUUGGAUCAUUUCCCAUCUUUUUCCCU
rnacentral:lncRNA from 1 species